rnacentral:rRNA from 1 species
UACGUAGGGUGCAAGCGUUGUCCGGAAUUAUUGGGCGUAAAGAGCUCGUAGGCGGUUCGUCGCGUCGGCUGUGAAAACCCGGAGCUCAACUCCGGGCCUGCAGUCGAUACGGGCGGACUUGAGUGUUGCAGGGGAGACUGGAAUUCCUGGUGUAGCGGUGAAAUGCGCAGAUAUCAGGAGGAACACCGAUGGCGAAGGCAGGUCUCUGGGCCACUACUGACGCUGAGAAGCGAAAGCGUGGGGAGCGAACAGG